CCUACGGGUGGCUGCAGUGAGGAAUAUUGGUCAAUGGACGAGAGUCUGAACCAGCCAAGUAGCGUGAAGGAUGACUGCCCUAUGGGUUGUAAACUUCUUUUAUAUGGGAAUAAAACAGUCUAUGUGUACUCUAUUGUAUGUACCCUAUGAAUAAGGAUCGGCUAACUCCGUGCCAGCAGCCGCGGUAAUACGGAGGAUCCGAGCGUUAUCCGGAUUUAUUGGGUUUAAAGGGAGCGUAGGUGGAUUGUUCAGUCAGUUGUGAAAUUUUGGGGCUCAACCGUAAAAUUGCAGUUGAAACUGGAAGUCUUGAGUACAGGAGAGGUGGGCGGAAUUCGUGGUGUAGCGGUGAAAUGCUUAGAUAUCACGAAGAACUCCGAUUGCGAAGGCAGCUUACUGGACUGCAACUGACACUGAUGCUCGAAAGUGUGGGUAUCAAACAGGAUUAGAUACCCCAGUAGUC
rnacentral:rRNA from 1 species